GGUUUAUUUGAUCAUGGCUCAGAUUGACCCGCGUGGCUUGCAGGCCUAACACAUGCAAGUCGAGCGGAUGACGGGAGCUUGCUCCUUGAUUCAGCGGCGGACGGGUGAGUAAUGCCUAGGAAUCUGCCUGGUAGUGGGGGACAACGUUUCGAAAGGAACGCUAAUACCGCAUACGUCCUACGGGAGAAAGCAGGGGGACCUUCGGGCCUUGCGCUAUCAGAUGGGCCUAGGUCGGAUUAGCUAGUUGGUGAGGUAAUGGCUCACCAAGGCGACGAUCCGUAACUGGUCUGAGAGGAUGAUCAGUCACACUGGAACUGAGACACGGUCCAGACUCCUACGGGAGGCAGCAGUGGGGAAUAUUGGACAAUGGGCGAAAGCCUGAUCCAGCCAUGCCGCGUGUGUGAAGAAGGUCUUCGGAUUGUAAAGCACUUUAAGUUGGGAGGAAGGGCAGUAAGUUAAUACCUUGCUGUUUUUGACGUUACCGACAGAAUAAGCACCGGGCUAACUCUGUGCCAGCAGCCGCGGUAAUACAGAGGGUGCAAGCGUUAAUCGGGAAUUACUGGGCGUUAAAGACGCCGACGUAG
rnacentral:rRNA from 1 species